UCCGGUAUGGUCUAGUGGUUAGAUACCUGGCUCUCACCCAGGAGGCUCGGGGUUCGAUUCCGGGUACCGGAA
rnacentral:tRNA from 1 species